ACGGGUGAGUAACACGUGGGAACGUACCCUUUGGUUCGGAAUAACGCUGGGGAACUAGCGCUAAUACCGGAUACGCCCUUUUGGGGAAAGGCUUGCUGCCGAAGGAUCGGCCCGCGUCUGAUUAGCUAGUUGGUGGGGUAAUGGCCUACCAAGGCGACGAUCAGUAGCUGGUCUGAGAGGAUGAUCAGCCACACUGGGACUGAGACACGGCCCAGACUCCUACGGGUGGCAGCAGUGGGGAAUAUUGGACAAUGGGCGCAAGCCUGAUCCAGCCAUGCCGCGUGAGUGAUGAAGGCCUUAGGGUUGUAAAGCUCUUUUGUCCGGGACGAUAAUGACGGUACCGGAAGAAUAAGCCCCGGCUAACUUCGUGCCAGCAGCCGCGGUAAUACGAAGGGGGCUAGCGUUGCUCGGAAUCACUGGGCGUAAAGGGCGCGUAGGCGGCCAUUCAAGUCGGGGGUGAAAGCCUGUGGCUCAACCACAGAAUUGCCUUCGAUACUGUUUGGCUUGAGUUUGGUAGAGGUUGGUGGAACUGCGAGUGUAGAGGUGAAAUUCGUAGA
rnacentral:rRNA from 1 species